rnacentral:tmRNA from 1 species
GGCCUUUUUUCAUUCAGCUUUGCCCCCUAUAUUCGGGGUGCCGGCGCAAGCCGGCUAUGGCGAUAAACGGGCGUCGUAAUAAACCCAUCGGACCCGGGGGCAGUACCCGGCGCCUCCACCGAAGUCCCUCCCAGGGGAUUUCGGCGGGGGCGAAAUAGGAUCGACGAGGGCGUAAAGGACGUGCUUUUGCCCGAGAUGGUUCCGACGUAACGGGCCAUUCCAUAGUUGCCAACGACAACUAUGCUCCGGUUGCUCGGGCUGCGUAACGCAGUCUGAAAGACCGACCUUAAAGCCCUGACGGGUUAAGCUCCGUCAGGCGGGGUUCGGAGGCACCUGGCAACAGAAGCCUCCACU